CACCCUUCGGGGCGAGCGGCGGACGGGUUAGUAACGCGUGGGAACGUGCCCUUCUCUACGGAAUAGCCAUUGGAAACGAUGAGUAAUACCGUAUACGCCCUUCGGGGGAAAGAUUUAUCGGAGAAGGAUCGGCCCGCGUUAGAUUAGAUAGUUGGUGGGGUAACGGCCUACCAAGUCUACGAUCUAUAGCUGGUUUUAGAGGAUGAUCAGCAACACUGGGACUGAGACACGGCCCAGACUCCUACGGGAGGCAGCAGUGGGGAAUCUUAGACAAUGGGCGAAAGCCUGAUCUAGCCAUGCCGCGUGAGUGAUGAAGGCCUUAGGGUCGUAAAGCUCUUUCGCCAGGGAUGAUAAUGACAGUACCUGGUAGAGAAACCCCGGCUAACUCCGUGCCAGCAGCCGCGGUAAUACGGAGGGGGUUAGCGUUGUUCGGAAUUACUGGGCGUAAAGCGCGCGUAGGCGGAUUGGAAAGUUGGGGGUGAAAUCCCAGGGCUCAACCCUGGAACUGCCUCCAAAACUAUCAGUCUAGAGUUCGAGAGAGGUGAGUGGAAUUCCGAGUGUAGAGGUGAAAUUCGUAGAUAUUCGGAGGAACACCAGUGGCGAAGGCGGCUCACUGGCUCGAUACUGACGCUGAGGUGCGAAAGUGUGGGGAGCAAACAGGAUUAGAUACCCUGGUAGUCCACACCGUAAACGAUGAAUGCCAGUCGUCGGACAGUAUACUGUUCGGUGACACACCUAACGGAUUAAGCAUUCCGCCUGGGGAGUACGGUCGCAAGAUUAAAACUCAAAGGAAUUGACGG
rnacentral:rRNA from 1 species